GUGGGGAAUCUUAGACAAUGGGGGCAACCCUGAUCUAGCCAUGCCGCGUGAGUGAUGAAGGCCUUAGGGUUGUAAAGCUCUUUCAGUGGGGACGAUAAUGACGGUACCCACAGAAGAAGCCCCGGCUAACUUCGUGCCAGCAGCCGCGGUAAUACGAAGGGGGCUAGCGUUGUUCGGAUUUACUGGGCGUAAAGCGCACGUAGGCGGAUCGUUAAGUCGGGGGUGAAAUCCUGGAGCUCAACUCCAGAACUGCCUUCGAUACUGGCGAUCUUGAGUCCGGAAGAGGUGAGUGGAACUCCUAGUGUAGAGGUGGAAUUCGUAGAUAUUAGGAAGAACACCAGUGGCGAAGGCGGCUCACUGGUCCGGUACUGACGCUGAGGUGCGAAAGCGUGGGGAGCAAACAGGAUUAGAAACCCCUGUAGUCC
rnacentral:rRNA from 1 species